ACCGGUGGUAGGGCCCAUGUGAAACUCCUUCGACGAGUCGAGUUGUUUGGGAAUGCAGCUCAAAAUGGGUGGUAUAUUUCAUCUAAAGCUAAAUAUUGGCCAGAGACCGAUAGCGCACAAGUAGAGUGAUCGAAAGAUGAAAAGAACUUUGAAAAGAGAGUUAAACAGUAUGUGAAAUUGUUGAAAGGGAAGCGCUUGCAACCAGACUUGAGCGCGGCGGUUCCCCCUUCCUUUUGGUUGGGUUACUCCGUCGUGUCCAGGCCAACAUCGGUUCUGGGGGUCGGUCAAAGGCCUGGGGAAUGUAUCUACGUCUUCGGGCGUAGACUUAUAGCCCCGGGUGUCAUGCGACCUCCCGGGACCGAGGAACGCGCUUCGGCUCGGAUGUUGGCGUAAUGGUUGUAAGCGACCCGUCUUGAAACACGGACCAAGGAGUCUAACAUCUAUGCGAGUGUUUGGGUGUCAAACCCGGAACGCGGAAUGAAAGUGAACGGAGGUAGGAAGCUUCGGCUGCACUAUCGACCGAUCCUGAUGUCUUCGGAUGGAUUUGAGUAAGAGCAUAGCUGUUGGGACCCGAAAGAUGGUGAACUAUGCCUGAAUAGGGUGAAGCCAGAGGAAACUCUGGUGGAGGCUCGCAGCGGUUCUGACGUGCAAAUCGAUCGUCAAAUUUGGGUAUAGGGGCGAAAGACUAAUCGAACCAUCUGGUA
rnacentral:rRNA from 1 species